GACGAACGCUGGCGGCGUGCUUAACACAUGCAAGUCGAACGGAAAGGCCCUGCUUUUGUGGGGUGCUCGAGUGGCGAACGGGUGAGUAACACGUGAGUAACCUGCCCUUGACUUUGGGAUAACUUCAGGAAACUGGGGCUAAUACCGGAUAGGAGCUCCUGCUGCAUGGUGGGCGUUGGAAAGUUUCGGCGGUUGGGGAUGGACUCGCGGCUUAUCAGCUUGUUUGUGGGGUAGUGGCUUACCAAGGCUUUGACGGGUAGCCGGCAUGAGAGGGUGACCGGCGACAUUGGGACUGAGAUACGGCCCAGAAUCCUACGGGAGGCAGCAGUGGGGAAUAUUGCACAAUGGGCGGAAGCCUGAUGCAGAAACGCCGCGUGCGGGAUGACGGCCUUCGGGGUGUAAACAGAUUUCGCCUGUGACGAAGAGUGAGUGACGGUAAUGGGUAAAGAAGCAACGGCUAACUACGUG
rnacentral:rRNA from 1 species